ACUUGGGAUUACAACUCAUUCAGAAAAAAAUAAAGUCAAAAUGGAUAAAGGACCUGAAAUUGAGAGAGGGAACCAUCAAAACCCUAGAGGGGAAAGCAGGAAAAAACCUCUCUGACCUCAGACACAGCAAUUUCUUACUUGACACAUCUCCAAAGGCAAGGGAAUUAAA